UCAAGCUACAAAGAGCACAAGGGGAAUGCCUUGGCACCGAGAGCCGAAGAAGGACGUGACUAACUGCGAUAAGCUGCGGGGAGCCGUAAGUAGGCUUUGAUCCGCAGAUUUCCGAAUGGAGCAAUCCGGCAAGAGGAAAGUCUUGUCAUCAUAUACUGAAUACAUAGGUAUAUGAGGGGAACCGCCUGAACUGAAACAUCUAAGUAGGGCGAGGAAGAGAAAUCAACCGAGAUUCCGCUAGUAGUGGCGAGCGAACGCGGAAGAGGCCAAACCAAGAGUAGUAAUACUUUUGGGGUUUUGGACAGCGUACGGUAUUAACUGCGGUUAGUAGAAUGAAAUGGGAAGUUCAACCACAGAGCGUGAUAGUCGCGUACACGAAAACUAAAGUUAGCCAGCUGGAUCCAGAGUACCGCCGGACACGUGAAACCCGGUGGGAAGACGGGGGGACCACCCUCCAAGCCUAAAUACUACCCAGUGACCGAUAGCGUAUAGUACUGUGAAGGAACGGUGAAAAGAACCCCGGGAGGGGAGUGAAAGAGAACCUGAAACCCUGUGCCUACAAGCACCUAGAGCACGUCAAAGUGUGAUAGGGUACUUUUUGUAGAACGGUCCGGCGAGCGAUUGUAUGCAGCAAGGUUAAGGACUUAAGGUCUGGAGCCGAAGCGAAAGCGAGUUUGAAAAGGGCGUUAAGUUGCAUAUAAUGGGCCCGAAACCGGGUGACCUACCCAUGGUCAGGUUGAAGUGGAAGUAAAAUUCCAUGGAGGACCGAACCGACCUCCGUUGAAAAGGCGGCGGAUGAACUGUGGGUAGCGGAGAAAUUCCAAUCGAACCCGGAGAUAGCUGGUUCUCUCCGAAAUAGCUUUAGGGCUAGCCUUGAAAUAGAUUACCGGAGGUAAAGCACUGAAUUGGCUAGGGGCCGAGAGGUUACUGAACCUUAUCAAACUAAGAAUGCCGGAUAAUCGUUUUUCAGGAGUCAGACAGUGGGAGAUAAGUUUCAUUGUCAAAAGGGAAACAGCCCAGACCCACAGCUAAGGUCCCCAAGUAUAGUUAAGUGGAAAAGGAUGUGGAAUUGCACAGACAACCAGGAUGUUGGCUUAGAAGCAGCCACUCAUUAAAAGAGUGCGUAAUAGCUCACUGGUCGAGUGACUCUGCGCCGAAAAUUUAACGGGGCUAAACUAUACACCGAAGCUUGGGAUACAUCUAAUGUAUGGUAGGAGAGCGUUCUGUAUGGGGAGAAGUCGUAGCGAAAGCGGCGGUGGACUAUACAGAAGUGAGAAUGCCGGAAUAAGUAGCGAGAAUUAAGUGAGAAUCUUAAUGGCCGAAAGUCUAAGGUUUUUGGAGGAAGGUUCGUCCGCUCCAAGUAAGUCGGGAGCUAAGGUCAGGCCGAAAGGCGUAGCCGAUGCACAUACGGUUGAUAUUCCGUAACCAUCUGUAAUUUAAGCAAAGGGACACUUCAAAAGGGUGUGACCCGGGCGUUGGUUGACCCGGGCGUAAGGGACCGAAAUUAGAGUAGGGAAGCACACUUGGCUGAAGGCGAGAAAAGCUUUGCGUAUAGAAGCAGAUGCCCGUACCGCAAACCGACACAGGUGGACAGGAAGAGAAUUCUAAGGCCAGCGGGAGAAGGGUAGUUAAGGAACUCGGCAAAUUGACUCCGUAACUUCGGAAUAAGGAGUGCUCGAAAGAGCCGCAGAGAAUAGGCCCAGGCGACUGUUUAGCAAAAACACAGGUCUCUGCCAAAUCGAAAGAUGAAGUAUAGGGGCUGACACCUGCCCGGUGCCGGAAGGUUAAGAGGAGGAGUGAGAGCUCCGAAUUGAAGCCCCGGUAAACGGCGGCCGUAACUAUAACGGUCCUAAGGUAGCGAAAUUCCUUGUCGGGUAAGUUCCGACCCGCACGAAAGGCGUAAUGAUUUG
rnacentral:rRNA from 1 species